rnacentral:rRNA from 1 species
AUUGAACGCUGGCGGCAUGCCUAACACAUGCAAGUCGAGCGAACGAAGGGGGCUUACUCCCGGAUGCAGCGGCAGCCGGUUGAGUAAUUCCUAUGAGUCUGCCUUAAAUUGGGGGAUAACGUCCGUAUACGGACGCUGAUAUCCCAUACGACCUGAUAUUGAAACUGGUGGUUCUUUCGUCCUCACGCUAUCAUAUGAGCCUAGAUCUUGUCAACUAGUCGGUGGGGUAAAUGGAUACCAAGGCGACGAUCCGUAACUGGUAUGAGAGGAUGAUCAGUCACACUGGAAGUGAGACACGUUCCAGACUCCUACGGGAGGCAGCAGUGGGGAAUAUUGCGCAAUGGGCGAAAGCCUGAUGCAGCGAUGCCGCGUGUGUGAUGAAGGUCUUCGGAUUGUAAAGCACUGUAAGUUGGGAGGAAGGGAAGUACGUUAAUACAUGGCUGUCUUGACGUUACCAAGAGAAUAAGCACCGGCUAACUUCGUG